GGGGAGGUGUUUGAUCAUCCAUUGGGGAGGGGUUGGGGCGGUCUGGGGGAGGUGUCUGGAUCAUCUAGUGAGGAGGGGGUUGGAACAUCUAGUGAGCAGGGGGUUUGAACAUCUAGUGGGGAGGGGUUUGAACAUCUAGUGGGGAGGGGGUUAGAACAUCUAGUGGGGAGGGGUUAGAACAUCUAGUGAGGAGGGGGUUAGAACAUCAAUGGGGAGGGGGUUAGAACAUCUAGUGGGGAUGGGGUUGGAUCAUCUAGUUGGGAGGGCAUUGGAUCAUCUAGUGGGGAGGUGUUCGAUCAUCCAUUGGGGAGGGGUUGGGGCGGUCUGGGGGAGGGAUCUGGAACAUGUAGUGGGGAGGGGAUUUGAACAUCUAGUGGGGAGGGAUUUGAAUAUCUAGUGGGGAGGUGGUUGGAACAUCUAGUGGGG
ensembl:lncRNA